AGCGAACGCUGGCGGCAGGCUUAACACAUGCAAGUCGAACGGGCACUUCGGUGUCAGUGGCAGACGGGUGAGAAACACGUGGGAACGUACCUUUUGGUUCGGAACAACUGAGGGAAACUUCAGCUAAUACCGGAUAAGCCCUUACGGGGAAAGAUUUAUCGCCGAAAGAUAGGCCCGCGUCUGAUUAGCUAGUUGGUAGGGUAAUGGCCUACCAAGGCGACGAUCAGUAGCUGGUCUGAGAGGAUGAUCAGCCACAUUGGGACUGAGACACGGCCCAAACUCCUACGGGAGGCAGCAGUGGGGAAUAUUGGACAAUGGGGGCAACCCUGAUCCAGCCAUGCCGCGUGAGUGAUGAAGGCCCUAGGGUUGUAAAGCUCUUUUGUGCAGGAAGAUAAUGACGGUACCGCAAGAAUAGGCCCCGGCUAACUUCGUGCCAGCCGCCGCGGUAA
rnacentral:rRNA from 1 species